UUCCCGCAGCUUGGGACCCUCAUAGAGCAGUGGGGGGACAGUAAGAAAGCAGCUGAAGUUGAAACUUGCAGCAAGGUUAACCCUUUAUUGUUCUUUGUCAGACACCUGCUCCCACAAUCUCACAGUCUCCUCUAUUACCUGCCCAAUGGCUCUCGUGUCGCCCAACGGGACCCCGGGGUGGCAAACUGUUAUUAUCAUGGGCAGCUUGAAGGUCCGACGGCCCCUGGAGCAGCAUCAGCUCAGGAAUCCGGGGAAUCAUCCUGACGUCACCAGAAAUGGGGUACAGCAUCGAGCCGCUCCCCGGACACCCACCCCACAAACAAAUUGUGCGCCUGACCCAGGGGAAAUCCAACAACUCAUAAUGUGGGAAC